CCCUUAGAUGUUCUGGGCUGCACGCGCGCUACACUGAAGCGUUCAACGAGUAUUCACCUUGCCCGGGAGGGUUGGGUAAUCUUUUGAAAACGCUUCGUGAUGGGGAUAGAUUAUUGCAAUUAUUAAUCUUCAACGAGGAAUUCCUAGUAAGCGCGAGUCAUCAGCUCGUGCUGAUUACGUCCCUGCCCUUUGUACACACCGCCCGUCGCUCCUACCGAGUGAGUGAUCCGGUGAAUAAUUCGGACUGCAGCACUGCUUGGUCUCCAGGCUUUGCAGCGGAAAGUUUAGUGAACCUUAUCACUUAGAGGAAGGAGAAGUCGUAACA
rnacentral:rRNA from 1 species